GAUGAACGCUGGCGGCGUGCCUAAUACAUGCAAGUCGAGCGACAGCACGGUCUUCGGACUGGUGGCGAGCGGCGGACGGCUGAGUAACGCGUAGGAACGUACCCCAAAGUGAGGGAUAACUGCUCGAAAGAGUAGCUAAUACCGCAUGUGGUCUAAGGAUUAAAGCUUCGGCGCUUUGGUAACGGCCUGCGUAAGAUUAGCUAGUUGGUGAGGUAAUGGCUCACCAAGGCGAUGAUCUUUAGCUGGUCUGAGAGGAUGAUCAGCCAGACUGGGACUGAGACACGGCCCAGACUCCUACGGGAGGCAGCAGUAGGGAAUUUUCCACAAUGGGCGAAAGCCUGAUGGAGCAACGCCGCGUGCAGGAUGAAUGCCUUCGGGUUGUAAACUGCUUUUAUAUGUGACGAUUAUGACGGUAGCAUAUGAAUAAGGAUCGGCUAACUCCGUGCCAGCAGCCGCCGUAA
rnacentral:rRNA from 1 species